UGCCGGGGCCUGGGGCCGUGCAGAGCUCCGAGGGCAGAGAGCGGCUGCGUGUCCUGGUCCUGCUGUCACUGCUUGUUCUGAAAUGCUCUCCUAAAUCGCUAUUUGGGGUUUUAUUUCUGAAGUGCAUAGAAGCAGCCUAAUUCCAGCCCGGGGGCUGCAUAUCUGACACCCACCCCCUGCACGGAGCUGCCUGGGAAUGGGAACGCGGCGCUGAGGAGGCAGGAAGGAAAGCCUGCCGCUUUUUAAAACGCGCAAUCUUCAGGGAAUUCCAACUGCAAUCCAAGCCCGUUCCCGACCAACUGCGUAACGGUGCAGCCUUUGAAUCCGCGUCCCGCCCCGCGGGCUGGGCUCACUGCCGGCCCUGCCUCCCCGCCGCUGCCCAGCGCUGCCUGCAGCGCCCAUGGGUGCGCUGAGCCGGGCGCAGCCCCGACAUGUAGUGCCGCGCUGUGCCCCUGCCCGCCAUGCCGCUGCUGGAUUUCUUCUGGGCGUGCUUCAGGAGAGCCAAGUGCUUCGCACGGCUAGAAGACAAAAAAGAUGCAGGUAAGCUGAGACAACGUUCUUCUGGGCACCAACUUUUUCUCUGUGGUUUGGGCACGGCUGCGAGAAGAAAAGGGACCCGGGUGUGGUGCGGGCUCCCGCCGGCGCUGCGUUUCCCCACAGCGUUGAUUUUCAGAGCGACGGAGGCGGCCAGCG